AUGGGGAUAGUUGAUGUCUGUCCCACGGAGAGAGUAACUCAGUGGCCCUGCUUUGAGAUGGGAGAAUGUUAUAGCAGGACAUCUGUAGCCCCAGGGCAUGAAACCCCAGAGAGAAUCAGCAGGUCUGGAAGUUCAGACACACAACAAGGAAACAAACUACUGGAAGGAAAUACAGUCUCGUCACUAAAAUCUUUAUCAUCAGCAGGAUGGAUUAGCACCAGCUGCUGUGAGGUUUCAGUUACAAGAACCAGGCUUCCCUGAGAUGCUAUGAGCUCCACUGUCCAGAGAGGAGACAUUUUGUGUCUUUUGAGUUUGGGGCAUGGCUCUAGGAAGAGAUUAUUCAUUUGUUCAUCUGCAUGACCUACAAUGGAGGCAACGAGAACAUACUGAUAUCCUCAUGCAUUAAUAUUUGUUACUUUAUUUUUGAAUAAAAACAAAAGGUACUGGACCA
rnacentral:lncRNA from 1 species